GCUGCAGUAACGCCGGUGGCCUUAGCAGGUCCGCAGGCGGCUGUGUGAGGGGAGGUAGGCUGUGUGCAGGCCACUACGCCCCCCGGUGACUCGCCGCCAUGAGCAGCACCUUAGCCAAGAUCGCGGAGAUCGAAGCCGAGAUGGCUCGGACUCAAAAGAACAAGGCCACAGCACACCACCUAGGGCUCCUUAAGGCUCGCCUUGCUAAGCUUCGUAGAGAACUCAUUACCCCCAAAGGUGGUGGUGGUGGUGGGCCAGGAGAAGGUUUUGAUGUGGCCAAGACAGGUGAUGCUCGAAUUGGUUUUGUGGGUUUUCCAUCAGUGGGGAAGUCAACACUACUUAGCAACCUGGCGGGAGUAUAUUCUGAGGUGGCAGCUUAUGAGUUCACUACUCUGACCACUGUGCCUGGUGUCAUCAGAUACAAAGGUGCCAAGAUCCAGCUCCUGGAUCUUCCAGGUAUCAUUGAGGGUGCCAAGGAUGGGAAAGGCAGAGGCCGUCAAGUCAUUGCAGUGGCCCGAACAUGUAACUUGAUCCUGAUUGUUCUGGAUGUCCUGAAACCUUUGGGGCAUAAAAAGAUAAUUGAAAAUGAGCUGGAAGGUUUUGGCAUUCGUUUGAACAGCAAACCCCCUAACAUUGGCUUUAAGAAGAAGGAUAAAGGAGGCAUUAAUCUCACAGCCACCUGCCCUCAGAGUGAGCUGGAUGCUGAAACUGUGAAAAGCAUUUUGGCUGAAUACAAAAUUCACAAUGCUGAUGUGACUCUGCGUAGUGAUGCCACAGCAGAUGACCUUAUUGAUGUGGUGGAAGGAAACAGAGUUUAUAUCCCUUGUAUUUAUGUAUUGAAUAAGAUUGAUCAGAUCUCCAUUGAGGAAUUGGAUAUCAUCUAUAAGGUGCCUCACUGUGUCCCCAUUUCUGCCCAUCACCGCUGGAAUUUUGACGACCUAUUGGAAAAGAUCUGGGACUAUCUGAAGCUAGUGAGGAUUUACACCAAACCCAAAGGCCAGUUGCCAGAUUAUACAUCCCCAGUGGUACUGCCUUACUCUAGGACCACGGUGGAGGAUUUCUGCAUGAAGAUUCACAAAAAUCUUAUCAAAGAAUUUAAAUACGCUCUGGUCUGGGGUCUGUCUGUGAAACACAAUCCUCAAAAAGUGGGUAAAGACCAUACGUUGGAAGAUGAGGAUGUCAUUCAGAUUGUGAAGAAGUGAAACCUAUCCCUCUGCCAGGCCAACCACAAGAGCUUUCCCCAUGACUAAGCACCCUACCCGAGACCCCUUCUGGCUUUGGCAGCCAGUGGAUCAGGAUUCAGGGGAGGGAAAUGGAGGCACCCAAACUGGAACUUUACUUAUCUUAACUUGGUGUCACCUUGUAAAUUCAACUGCAUAAAGGACCUGGUAAGCCAGCCAGCUAUAUGCAGUUCACGUGUCAUUGUCAGAAUUUGUUUUGGGAUGGACUGAAUGAAGAUGACUAUGUACAGUGAGGCAGCUGCAGAAGGGGUUAUUUGGGAGCUUGGUUUUGAGUGUGAAAUGGAUAAAAAUGUGACUGCAACAUCUUACUUGAUGUUUAGUCAUGGGAAACCCUUCCAACUGGAUGUGGCCUUCACUCUUCUCAAGUGGCCUUUCGCAGAUGAUACUGGAAAGAGGAAGGACUUGAUGUCAGAAACUUACCAGCUUGGAGCAAACUUGGAAGAUGCUGUGGAUGUACUCCCUGGGCCAGCAUCCUUUGGACCAACCCUGGGUGAAGCUGGUGAGCAGGCCGAACGAUUGGAACGUGGGGGACAAGGGGAACUUGGUGGACAGGGCGGAGAAAAGGUGUUCCUGGAACUGGGGAUGCCAAGGUGGGUGUUUUUCUCCCAGUUGCUUUAGGUCGAUAAUCUUGCUCUUUGGUGUAACGGUUGGUCUGAGAUAGUGGGGUAGAACAUGAAGACCGCUGCAAUGUUGACAGUUUGGGAUUUGUAGUGGGAGAAGAGUCUCGAUCAGCACUGGGCACAGAGUUGGAGGACACUAGGUUCUCUGUAAGGACCCAGACAGAGAAUAUUUUGGUACUGGCAAACUUCUCCCAAACAUGCUGUCUUCCCAACGAUCCAGUAAAUCUCACUUCUUAGGAAGUUUACAAUCUUAUUUGAUCUUACAAAUUCAGAGGAUUGUUUCAUAGGAAACACCAUGUACCUUAUGGGUAGGCCUAGUCAAGGACACAGGGGUAGUUUGUCAGGGACAGAGCUGGAACAAGACCACAAGUUUUCUAGUCUCCAAAUACAUUGCUGGAACAGAGUUUACUCUUCUUCUAAUCUUCCCAACCCAGGAAUAGCUAUGGGCAAGUGAAUCUGGCUUAUGGUCUGGUGGUCUAACUCAGGCACCUUGCUUGCCUGCCCAUAUGGUUGUGGUCUGGAUCUGUGUGGGAGCUAGUACUAUCCUAGAUUAACAUGCUUUUUUAGCCUAAGGGGAAAGUCAAGUGAAAGUAAAAUUAUGCAAAUCCACUGCAAUGGAAAUUUAAAUUACAGACUAGUGAAGAAAUCUGAAUUGCCUUUUAGUAGGACUGACAGGAUUUUUUUUUCAGAAGCUUUCUCACAGGCAAAAAGCUCUCAGACCAAGACUCUAGACUUGUGUAAACCUAUUAGAACCACUUCACCAUGUCCUUGACAAUCCCAACUGUGCAAUUCCUAAAAGCCUUGCUCACAUUUUCUAUACACUUCUAAAAGGCUUUCCACACCUUAUUAUUCACCCAUUGCACAGAUUUUGUUGGAUACUUAGUCUCUGUAGACCAGAGAGAAUCUUUCAGAAGUAAAACUGGUUGUACCAUGUUAAUUUAAUUUGCUGAAUGUACUAAUAAUUCAACUAUGAAGCCUCAAUAAGGAUUCUAAACGAAAUCUCAAUCUUCAUCCUGUACCACUAUUAGAUUGGUCAGAAUUUCAAGUGGUUAAGCAACCGUGAAGCUGGUUGAACACUUCUCAUUGUCAAACACAGAACUGUGUAUUCCAAAGCAGGCAGGGGUUUUGUGCAGGGAUUUGCAGAAAAUCAGGUCAGCUGAUUAGCACUCAAGCCCGUGCUCUGUCACAUACUCUUAGGCAGUACACCCUCAACAGCUCUGCAGUACCUUCACUGGCCUUCUGAGUGUCCUCUUUACUGUCACCAAGAGCUGCUGCUGCUUUUCCAGAUGCUGGCUCCUCCUUGCUUUUCUCUUUGCUCUCAUACAUCUUACGGAUCACUGAGGUAGGGGUGAAGGAAGGAGAAAGCUGCAGAGAAAAACAGUAUUAGCACAUUCUCUAACUGCCUUUCCUAAUCAAGCCAGAGUUAAUUGGUCAAACUGAAGAGUCCCCUUACUGGCUACACGUGCAGAGGCCAACUCCAAUGUUCUGGUGUUUACCCGCUAGAGGAAAAGAAAUAGAUGGGCCAUAUGGGUGGUGUCCCAAGUGCAUCAUCCCUUGCUCACAUCUCACUUUCACCAAAACCUAGACUUAGCUCUAGCACAAAGGUAGUUAAAGCAUAGAACUUCAACCUACCUGUCUGUGUCUGUGUUGAUAGGGACCUACCUAUGCAACCUCUGCUUCAGCCAUUUUCCCAGCCUGGGAUUAGGCUGAGAACAGGGGAAGAACAUGGCCAGAAGUAUACUCUAGAGCAAGAGCCCUGUCAACUGGGAAAGGAUAAUUCAGAGACAACCUCAGAACCUAAAUUCCUCUAUAGUCUUAAUUAUACCCCAUCUUAACUUGGCUACCAGGAAAUUCACAAUUAUCUUAAUAAUCUCCUCAGGCCCUAGGACUCACCAUUUGGGGUCAUUUUUUCCUCAUCUCUUCACUGCCUGUUUUACUUUGAUGAUUUACUGUGCAUGUGACUUUUCUCAUUAACCCUAAAUCCUUGAUGGUAGGAGACAGGGCAUGAAUUAUGAACACAAGAGCCCCUUCUAGUAAUGCAGAGACCCAUUUGGGGUCCGGAAGCAGAGUAAUAGUUUUUCCCUUUGUCUAUCAGCUUUAACUAGGUGAUAAAGAUCUUUGGGGGAUAAAACUUAAAAAAAAAAAAAAAAUGCUGGUACAUGAAUGAGUCAGUGGUAAAAUUAGAUUUAUCAUCAUAAAGAAGCAAACUCCUUUGUCCUAGCCUUAAUUCAUAUCACUGAGACCUGAAUCUGAAUUUGUGAAGUCUCCACUGUUUCAUUGGAUUCCUCAUGAUCCAACCCCAUUCACCCCUCCAUCUCACCUAUCUUUGGCCCCUAUCCUCCCCUACUCCCCAAUCCAACUGUUCAUUUGUUUGAACACACAUUACCUUAUAUGUUAUAGAUCAUACUCCUCUAUCUGCUGGAACAAACUUUCCCCAAUGUAGGGGCUUCACUAGAAUCUUAAGAGUUAGACUAUAUCCUGAAAGGGGAAGACCUAAUAAAUAAGCAAGUGUAAAAGACUGAGUCAGUUAUUCCUAUGGAAGGCACUCAAGGACACUUUGGGGCACAGAGUGAUACAACAUAGGUACAAUUGAACGGAGAAGCCUUGAAGUUGUUCACAAAAGCAAAUGUCACUGACCAUGCUUGUGAUGGAGGCAGCAGGGGCAGGGGAAGAGGAAUUCCCUCGGUGCACGGGUGCUGGUGACUUGGUCACUCGUUGUUGCCUGUGAACAAACCAAGUAUCAGUAUGAGCUCCAAGCUGCUCCAACUCCAAAUCCUAAAACCACAGAAUACUCAAGACCAGCUUAGAACUUUAAUAUCCUGUUUCCCUCAUCCAUUUCAAUUUCCCAAGCAUUUAUUAAGUGCCUCAUAUAUGCAAAACCACGUGCUAAGUUCUAAGGGAAGACAAAAGAUUAAACAUGGUCCUGGGCCUUGCAGGAACUCUUUUGUCCACUGGGGAGACGCUAACCUAGGGGAAACUAAGGUAUGUACAUAUUAGAUACUAAUAAGGUGUAAUGGGAAAAUGAGGUAUAGAAGGAGUGACAGAAUACUCCUACUGAAGGGACCAUGGGAAGGAACUGCAUUGAAUUGGGUGUGACCAAUGAGAAAGCUAGAAGAUGGAGAACAAUGAUUCAGGUAGAAGGAUCAGGUAUACGGUCUUGGGAAUGUAGUUAUCCAGGGCUGGCAUAUACUUUACUUGUAGACUAUGCCAGUGAGGUAGGCUAAGGAGGGCCUUCGUUCUGUGGUCCAGGUUGUGCUCCAGAGAGUAGGGAGCAAUACUGAUCAGCACAGGGCCUGGCACAGAAUUGAUGCUUCGUAAGACACUGGUUCAAAUAGAGGGCCAAGAGCUUCAGCUAUUUUAAGACCCAGUUACAUGCAGCAUUCCCCAUCACUCUUGGUCCACACACAAAGUUGAUCCCAAGUCUUCCAAAUAAAGUUUAAAACAACAGAUUUCUCUUCUCUCCCCGUUGUAUCCAUUCUCCCUUAACUUGGAGAAAACAGAUGAUGAAGAUGUAAACAGGCUGAGAGAAAAAUGAAUUAUAUGAGCUCACUGGCUAAUGAGAGUUUCACUGCAUUUCAGCUGUCAGACCUUGUGCCAUGAGGGCCAAAGCCUUAGUGAUUCUGGAAAUUCCUAAAUCAUAAAGAUGAGAAUGCUAAACCAUGGCUUCUUUCCAGUCAGUACCAGAUAAGCCCCACUGCUGCCACAGAGAAUCUGAGCAUGACAACAAAGAAGAAACAGAUCAGUAGUACUCUGAGUGAUCAUGAGGAAAACCCCAAGUCUGGUGGUUCUGCACAACCUAUCAUAUAUUCCUUCUGAUAAACAUUUUUGUGCUAGAAACGGGUAAGUGCUGGCGAUCCAGCAAUAAACAAAACAGACAAAAAAAAAUCUCUGGCCUCAUUACAUUCUUUUGUUUGUAGGGCAGAAAAGUUACUAUAGGCAGAGAAAUAGACAAAACAUAAAUAGUAACCUGGAAGGUGAUAAGCACAAUAAGAAAAAAUAGAGACAAGGAGAAAGGCAUAUCUGUUAGGGGACAUAACUGUAUACAGGGUGUUCAGGGAGGGCCUUAGAGGUUGACAUUUGAUCCAAACAACAUAAAGGCUCUACUGACACUGACUUGGGUCUUCAUUUUGAGUAACUUGCAUUUUAAAAACCUAAGUUUCUGUAUCUGUAAAAUGCAGUUAUUUACACCAUCUACCUCAGGAUUGUUGCCAAGAGCAAAUAAAAUUAUGGAUAUCAAAA